CAAAUAGCUGUGCGUUAGCUUCACCUUAGCAUGUGUUCUUUGCCGGUGUUUGUUGAGAAAACUCACUCAGGAUGCAAAAUAAAGAAGAAGGCAUCUGGGAUGGAGAAGGCGAGAGUAAUGGAAAAGGAAGACAUUCAAUGGCUUGGGAGAAAGAACCUGGUGAGGUGACACCCUGUGUGCAGUGUGACACCGAGCUGUCACCUCCCACUCCCUGCAUCACACCUCUGCCCCCUGCUGGGCCAACCCCGUCACAGCACCCCGACACCCGGCCAGCCUUCUCCUCCCCCGAUGAACUGGUAUCACUGAACAUCACUUCCAUUCUCUCCAUCAUUCACUUCAACUUUUCUGAGAAACAGAUAGACCUACUAACAUGUAGUCAUUUGUAAUCUAUAUUAGACAUGCCAAAACUAUUUGGCAUUUGAAGCUUUAUUAGAAAGCAUUGUCUAUCUGUAACUCUACUGCCAGUAUCAUUUUUUAAAUGUUGGGAAGUUUAGCUUUCACUAAAUUGCAUGCCCAAUUAAUUUUAAACUUAUUCUAUCCAGUAUAUCACAAAGAAACCUUUAUAAAAAUACAUUUUUAUGUGACUUUUUUCCUUUUUUCCCUUCCCCUUGUUUGCAGCAAAAUAUGAGACCUUAGGAAGGAUGGAUAUAUGUUUUAGGAUAAAAAGAGGAUUGGUAGUAGUAGUACUUAUACACAGUUGUUUUUCUGAAUGAUUUUAUUUCCAGAAAACAUGGAAUGAAUUGACACAUUAAUUAAAUUAAAACUAUUUUCUAUUUCAGCAAAUGCAUAGACCUUAAGUAACCUCAUGAUACACUUCUUCGCAUCUGCAUUGGUGUCAUAAUUUGUAACCAUUAUAAAAAGCAAAACAUCUCUCUAGACAUACACAACUGUUGAUUAAGGGCUGACUCUUAUUUUAAAGGUAUUACCAGCCGAUAAUGAUGGGAAAUGAAUAGUAAUUUGAUAACUAAAGUUGUCAUGAAGCCUCUUCAAGCCUGGUUUUUCAGACUGAGGAUAGAAGAACAAUCCAGUUUCAUAGCUCAGUAGC